UGCUGGAGUCCCUCCCCCGAGGCUCCUUGACCUGCCCUGCCAGGGAGGUGCUGCUGCCGCUGCCUGCUGGCCUGGCACAGAUGGCACUGAGGGCGCUGGGCCCAGGCCUGCAGCCCCCAGCCCGGCCCGGGGGAAGGCCUCAGCAGCGCCCCCAGGCCAGGCUGCAGUGCUGCGGGGACAAGCUGAGGGCCUGAGUGGGCACUGGGGGGCGCACAAGGAGGCUCUGGGUCUCCCGGGGGGCUGGAGGCCUGCGGGGGGAGGUCUCCUCCUUCCUGGAGCUGCUGGGGCUGUGCUGGAGACCAUCGAGCGCUUCGGAGGAGCGGGGCAGGCCCCGCCCACGCCAGAGGAUGCACCAAUCAGCUGCUGACCCUCCCCGUCCUAACCAGUUCCCCCCCCCAAUAAAGCACCAAACU